CCCCAUAUUUGAGUGUUUACACGUUUUUCAUUUCAAUUGUAGUGGUCACCAUGGACUGUAGGUGGAGCUAUAGUUGGUGGUGUUGGUGCAGUUGUAGCGGCGCCUGUUGUCUUGGACUUGGAAGCAGCUGGUUUUACUGCGGCUGGCAUAUUAGCAGAUUCGGUUACAUCACUCCAUUACUGAUGGCAUCAGGCAUAAUGUUUGCAUCUGCACUUGCUAAUGGAGCCGGUGGAGCAACAAUGCUGGUGGCAUUCUGUUCUGCAUGGUUUGCCGAAGCCGUUGGCGUUGCUGCGAUUCUGCGAAGAUGAUGCCUAGUGAGUAAUGAGUAAUGGAAGAUGUUAUACUUAUAAACCGGCUAAUCAUUGAAACUAAUGAUAUUAGUACUGAUGAUAUAGACACAAACACACAGGAGGGAAGCAACAAGUACCAUUCACAUCUGUGUGUAUAAGCGUGAAGUGAUAAAUUAAGCAUCUUCAAUUCUUCAUAUCCAUAGGGGAGUAUCAGUUUCUAGCUUCCAGGCCGGUGUUCCAGCAAUUUAUUAAAAUGCUUUCACUUCAGCA